CUUCCUUGCGGCGUGCUAAUACAUGCAAGUCGAGCGAAUGGAUUAAGAGCUUGCUCUUAUGAAGUUAGCGGCGGACGGGUGAGUAACACGUGGGUAACCUGCCCAUAAGACUGGGAUAACUCCGGGAAACCGGGGCUAAUACCGGAUAACAUUUUGAACCGCAUGGUUCGAAAUUGAAAGGCGGCUUCGGCUGUCACUUAUGGAUGGACCCGCGUCGCAUUAGCUAGUUGGUGAGGUAACGGCUCACCAAGGCAACGAUGCGUAGCCGACCUGAGAGGGUGAUCGGCCACACUGGGACUGAGAACACGGCCCAGACUCCUACGGGAGGCAGCAGUAGGGAAUCUUCCGCAAUGAACGAAAGUCCGACCGAAGAAACGCCGCGUGAGUGAUGAAGCCUUCCGGGUCGUAAAACUUCUGUUGUUAGGGAAGAACAAGUGCUAGUUGAAUAAGCUGGCACCUUGACGGUACCUAACCAGAAAGGCCACGGCUAACUACGUGCCAGCAGCCGCGGUAAUACGUAAGGUGGCAAGCGUUAUCCGGAAUUAUUGGGCGUAAAGCGCGCGCAGGUGGUUUCUUAAGUCUGAUGUGAAAGCCCACGGGCUCAACCGUGGAGUGGUCAUUGGAAACUGGGAGACUUGAGUGCAGAAGAGGAAAGUGGAAUUCCAUGUGUAGCGGUGAAAUGCGUAGAGAUAUGGAGGAACACCAGUGGCGAAGGCGACUUUCUGGUCUGUAACUGACACUGAGGCGCGAAAGCGUGGGGAGCAAACAGGAUUAGAUACCCUGGUAGUCCACGCCGUAAACGAUGAGUGCUAAGUGUUAGAGGGUUUCCGCCCUUUAGUGCUGAAGUUAACGCAUUAAGCACUCCGCCUGGGGGAGUACGGGCCGCAAGGCUGAAACUCAAAGGAAUUGACGGGGGCCCGCACAAGCGGUGGAGCAUGUGGUUUAAUUUCGAAGCAACGCGAAGAACCUUACCAAGUCUUGGACAUCCUCUUGACAACCCUAGAGAUAGGGCUUCUUCCUUCGGGAGCAGAGUUGACAGGUGGUGCAUGGUUGUCGUCAGCUCGUGUCGUGAGAUGUUGGGUUAAGUCCCGCAACGAGCGCAACCCUUGAUCUUAGUUGCCAUCAUUUAGUUGGGCACUCUAAGGUGACUGCCGGUGACAAACCGGAGGAAGGUGGGGAUGACGUCAAAUCAUCAUGCCCCUUAUGACCUGGGCUACACACGUGCUACAAUGGACGGUACAAAGAGCUGCAAGACCGCGAGGUGGAGCUAAUCUCAUAAAACCGUUCUCAGUUCGGAUUGUAGGCUGCAACUCGCCUACAUGAAGCUGGAAUCGCUAGUAAUCGCGGAUCAGCAUGCCGCGGUGAAUACGUUCCCGGGCCUUGUACACACCGCCCGUCACACCACGAGAGUUUGUAACACCCGAAGUCGGUGGGGUAACCUUUUGGAGCCAGCCGCCUAAGGGGACAGAGUGG
rnacentral:rRNA from 1 species